UUUUUGGAGAGUUUGAUCCUGGCUCAGGACGAACGCUGGCGGCGUGCUUAACACAUGCAAGUCGAACGGGGUCCUAGGGUAGCUUGCUACCCGACCGACCUAGUGGCGCACGGGUGAGUAACACGUGGGCAAUCUGCCCGGAAGACUGGGAUAACAGCCCGAAAGGGCUGCUAAUACCGGAUACCUUCGCGGAGUCGCAUGACUCUGUGAAGAAAUGUUUUUUCGCUUCCGGAUGAGCCCGCGUCCCAUUAGCUAGUUGGUGAGGUAACGGCUCACCAAGGCAACGAUGGGUAGCUGGUCUGAGAGGACGAUCAGCCACACUGGAACUGAGACACGGUCCAGACUCCUACGGGAGGCAGCAGUGGGGAAUCUUGCGCAAUGGGCGAAAGCCUGACGCAGCAACGCCGUGUGAACGAUGAAGGCCUUAGGGUCGUAAAGUUCUGUCAAGGGGGAAGAAGUUCUGACGGUACCCCUGGAGGAAGCUCCGGCUAACUACGUGCCAGCAGCCGCGGUAAUACGUAGGGAGCGAGCGUUGUCCGGAAUUACUGGGCGUAAAGGGCGUGUAGGCGGCCAAUCAAGUCAGGUGUGAAAAUCCAAGGCUCAACCUUGGACGUGCACUUGAAACUGGUUGACUUGAGUGCAGGAGAGGAAAGUGGAAUUCCCAGUGUAGCGGUGAAAUGCGUAGAUAUUGGGAGGAACACCAGUGGCGAAGGCGACUUUCUGGCCUGUAACUGACGCUGAGGCGCGAAAGCUAGGGGAGCAAACAGGAUUAGAUACCCUGGUAGUCCUAGCCGUAAACGAUGGGUACUAGUGUAGGGGGGUUUAGAUGCCCUCUGUGCCGCAGUUUACCACAUUAAGUACCGCGGCCUGGGGAGUACGGCCGCAAGGCUGAAACUCAAAGGAAUUGACGGGGGCCC
rfam:Dethiobacter alkaliphilus AHT 1 ctg21, whole genome shotgun sequence.